AAAGUGACCCCAGGUCAGGCGGGACUACCCGCUGAGUUUAAGC
rnacentral:rRNA from 1 species